ACCCUUUAAUGUUUGAUGUUCUAACGUAGACCCGUGAUCCGGGUUGCGGACAGUGUCUGGUGGGUAGUUUGACUGGGGCGGUCUCCUCCCAAAGAGUAACGGAGGAGCACGAAGGUUAGCUAAUCCUGGUCGGACAUCAGGAGGUUAGUGCAAUGGCAUAAGCUAGCUUGACUGCGAGCGUGACGGCGCGAGCAGGUGCGAAAGCAGGUCAUAGUGAUCCGGUGGUUCUGAAUGGAAGGGCCAUCGCUCAACGGAUAAAAGGUACUCCGGGGAUAACAGGCUGAUACCGCCCAAGAGUUCAUAUCGACGGCGGUGUUUGGCACCUCGAUGUCGGCUCAUCACAUCCUGGGGCUGAAGUAGGUCCCAAGGGUAUGGCUGUUCGCCAUUUAAAGUGGUACGCGAGCUGGGUUUAGAACGUCGUGAGACAGUUCGGUCCCUAUCUGCCGUGGGCGCUGGAGAAUUGAGGGGGGCUGCUCCUAGUACGAGAGGACCGGAGUGGACGCAUCACUGGUGUUCGGGUUGUCAUGCCAAUGGCAUUGCCCGGUAGCUAAAUGCGGAAAAGAUAAGUGCUGAAAGCAUCUAAGCACGAAACUUGCCCCGAGAUGAG
rnacentral:rRNA from 1 species